rnacentral:rRNA from 1 species
GACCUUUAGUUUGAAACCCCGAAACCAGGUGAGCUACCCCGAGACAGCCUAUUGAGGGCCAACCCGUCUCUGUGGCAAAAGAGUGGGAAGAGCUCCGGGUAGAAGUGACAGACCUACCGAACCUGGUGAUAGCUGGUUGCCUAAGAAAUGGAUAGAAGUUCAGCCUCGUGCUCCCCAAAUCAAACAAACGUUAACAAGACGACAAGAGAAACACACGAGAGUUAGUUAAAGGGGGUACAGCCCCUUUGACAAAGGAUACAACCUUUCUAGGAGGAUAAAGAUCAUAAUACAUAAAACAUACUGUUCUAGUGGGCCUAAAAGCAGCCACCUAAACAGAAAGCGUUAAAGCUCAGACAGAUAAAAGUUUAUUAUCCUGAUAAUAUAUCUUAUUCCCCUAAAUACUAUUAGGCCAACCCAUGCCUACAUGGAAGAGAUUAUGCUAAAAUGAGUAACAAGAAGGCCCGCCCUUCUCCAAGCACAAGUGUAAGCCAAAUCGGACCAACCAUUGGCAAUUAACGAACUCAACCCAAGAGAGCAAUGUGGAUUACAAAAAAACCUAGAAAAACCCACAACCUAACUAUCGUUACCCCCACACUGGAGUGCAACAAAGGAAAGACUAAAAGAAAAGGAAGGAACUCGGCAAACACAAGCCUCGCCUGUUUACCAAAAACAUCGCCUCCUGCAACACAACCAAGUAUAGGAGGUCCAGCCUGCCCAGUGACUACAAGUUCAACGGCCGCGGUAUUUUGACCGUGCAAAGGUAGCGCAAUCACUUGUCUUUUAAAUAGAGACCUGUAUGAAUGGCCAAACGAGGGCUUAACUGUCUCCCUUUUCCAGUCAGUGAAAUUGAUCUACCCGUGCAGAAGCGGGUAUAAUAAUACAAGACGAGAAGACCCUUUGGAGCUUAAGGUACAAAACUCAACCACGUUAAGCAACUCAAUAAAAAGUGAAAACUUUGUGGAACAUGAGAUUUUACCUUCGGUUGGGGCGACCACGGAGGAAAGAAGAGCCUCCAGGUGGACCGGGAAAAUUUCCUAAAACCAAGAGAGACAUCUCUAAGCCACAGAACAUCUGACCAAAUAUGAUCCGGCUAAUACAAGCCGAUCAACGAACCAAGUUACCCUAGGGAUAACAGCGCAAUCCUCUCCCAGAGUCCAUAUCGACGAGGGGGUUUACGACCUCGAUGUUGGAUCAGGACAUCCUAAUGGUGCAGCCG